AUUGAACGCUGGCGGCAUGCCUUACACAUGCAAGUCGAACGGUAACGCGGGGCAACCUGGCGACGAGUGGCGAACGGGUGAGUAAUGUAUCGGAACGCGCCCAGUAGUGGGGGAUAGCCCGGCGAAAGCCGGAUUAAUACCGCAUACGACCUACGGGUGAAAGCGGGGGAUCGCAAGACCUCGCGCUAUUGGAGCGGCCGAUAUCAGAUUAGGUAGUUGGUGGGGUAAAGGCCUACCAAGCCUACGAUCUGUAGCUGGUCUGAGAGGACGACCAGCCACACUGGGACUGAGACACGGCCCAGACUCCUACGGGAGGCAGCAGUGGGGAAUUUUGGACAAUGGGCGCAAGCCUGAUCCAGCCAUGCCGCGUGCGGGAAGAAGGCCUUCGGGUUGUAAACCGCGUUUGUCAGGGAAGAAACGCUCUGGGCUAAUACCCCGGGGUAAUGACGGUACCUGAAGAAUAAGCACCGGCUAACUACGUGCCAGCAGCCGCGGUAAUACGUAGGGUGCAAGCGUUAAUCGGAAUUACUGGGCGUAAAGCGUGCGCAGGCGGUCUUGCAAGACAGAUGUGAAAUCCCCGGGCUCAACCUGGGGAACUGCAUUUGUGACUGCAAGGCUGGAGUGCGGCAGAGGGGGAUGGAAUUCCGCGUGUAGCAGUGAAAUGCGUAGAUAUGCGGAGGAACA
rnacentral:rRNA from 1 species